GCUGCUCAAAAUUUGCACACCUCUCCGUGGUGAGCAGCAGGCAACAGUCUUAUGACUGGCUGAGAUGUGAAG
rnacentral:ribozyme from 1 species